rnacentral:rRNA from 1 species
AUGGCGUCCAUGAUGGGAGAAGACUUCGUGGAGGCCUACGUGCUCAAGAACGCCUACAAGGAGAAGCUCAGGCGCAUGGACCAAGCCGAAGCGGCGGCCGCGGCGCUCGACGGCGCGAGGAGCGGCAAGGACAUGGAGGCCGCCGGUGCUGCUGGAGAGAAGAAGGCUGCUGCUGGUGGCGCGUGCAGCAGGGGAGGCUUCUUUGGCCUCAUCAAGAAGAAGGUGCACCCCAAACCCAAAGCAUCGGCGGCGACUUCCUCUUGA